AGUUCAGUGAAGUAUUCUUGUAUAGUCAGUUAAGGGACAAACAUUGCUGAGCCCCUGCUAACUAGCUAUGUAAUGGGAAAGUUCCUUAACAUUCAAAUGUUCAAGAAGUGUUUUGUUGAGACUAUGGAACAUGUAUUUCAAAGGAUCCAAUGGCAAACUGCUACAGAGGACAACAGAGCACAGGAGAGCUGGUUGAACAUCCUUGGAGAAUAAAAGCAGUCCUUUUUGAUGCGCAGGAAGGUGAGCAAGUGUAGGAAAAGGUCAAUAUGGAUCAACAACAGGGAAAUCCUGAAUGAGCUCAAACCACCAGAAGCACAUGAAGGAGGAGGAAUGGAUGUCCUAGGAGGAAUGUAGAGGCAGUACCCAAACAUACAAGGAUGGAGCUGAGAAAGCCAAGGCUUGCCUGGAGUGGAGACUCGCCAGAAUGUGAAAGGCAAAAUGAAGGACUUCUGUAAGCACAUCAGCAACAAAAGGAAGGCAGGGGAAAUGAUUUACGUGGAGUUUAAGCACAUAAAUCCCAGCACAGGCAUUUUUUUUAGUGGAUCUGGUGAUUUAAAAUUUUUUUUAGCUGGAUUUGGCUCACUUUUAUAAUGUUGCGGUGCUUAUAAAACUAC